UAUUAUGAGAGUUUGAUCCUGGCUCAGGACGAACGCUGGCGGCGUGCCUAAUACAUGCAAGUCGAACGCUUCUUUCCUCCCGAGUGCUUGCGCUCAAUUGGAAAGAGGAGUGGCGGACGGGUGAGUAACACGUGGGUAACCUACCCAUCAGAGGGGGAUAACACUUGGAAACAGGUGCUAAUACCGCAUAACAGUUUAUGCCGCAUGGCAUAAGAGUGAAAGGCGCUUUCGGGUGUCGCUGAUGGAUGGACCCGCGGUGCAUUAGCUAGUUGGUGAGGUAACGGCUCACCAAGGCCACGAUGCAUAGCCGACCUGAGAGGGUGAUCGGCCACACUGGGACUGAGACACGGCCCAGACUCCUACGGGAGGCAGCAGUAGGGAAUCUUCGGCAAUGGACGAAAGUCUGACCGAGCAACGCCGCGUGAGUGA
rnacentral:rRNA from 1 species